rnacentral:rRNA from 1 species
UACGAAGGGGGCUAGCGUUGCUCGGAAUUACUGGGCGUAAAGGGUGCGUAGGCGGUUUGGUAAGUCUGAUGUGAAAUCUAUGGGCUCAACUCAUAGUCUGCAUCGGAAACUGCCGGGCUUGAGUGUGGGAGAGGUGAGUGGAAUUCCUGGUGUAGCGGUGAAAUGCGUAGAUAUGCGGAGGAACACCGGAUGGCGCAAGCAGCCCCCUGGGCGUGACACUGACGCUGAGGCACGAAAGCGUGGGGAGCAAACAGG